AACCUAGCACACCUGCGGUGUGUACCUGCGGAGGGAUCAUUACACAAAUUAAAAUAUGAAGGCUUCGGCUGGAUUAUUUUUAUCACCCUUGUCUUUUGCGCACUUGUUGUUUCCUGGGCGGGUUCGCCCGCCACCAGGACCACACCAUAAACCUUUUUUAUGCAGUUGCAAUCAGCGUCAGUAUAACAAAUGUAAAUCAUUUACAACUUUCAGCAACGGAUCUCAGAUCGGAAGAGCACA
rnacentral:misc_RNA from 1 species